GAUGAAGAACGUAGCGAAAUGCGAUAAGUAGUGUGAAUUGCAGAAUUCAGUGAAUCAUCGAAUCUUUGAACGCACAUUGCGCCCCAUGGUAUUCCGUGGGGCAUGCCUGUUCGAGCGUCAUUUGUACCUUCAAGCUUUGCUUGGUGUUGGGUGUUUGUCUCGCCUUUGCGUGUAGACUCGCCUUAAAAUAAUUGGCAGCCGGCGUAUUGAUUUCGGAGCGCAGUACAUCUCGCGCUUUGCACUCAUAACGACAGCGUCCAAAAGUACAUUUUACACUCUUGACCUCGGAUCAGGUAGGGAUACCCGCUGAACUUAAGCAUAUCAAUAAGCGGAGGA
rnacentral:misc_RNA from 1 species